ACCACACAAACUUCCCUCAUGUGUGGAGAGAGACAAAGGGGCCCUCUGGUCCUCCUGUUCUGCGUUAAUUAUGCUGAGUUCCACACUGGGACCCCAAGGCCUGGGAACCACCGGGUGGGUGUCAGAGAAAUGGUGGACGUGGACCCCAAAGCCACUUAGGGCUGUUUGCUGAUUGGAUGCAGCAGGGGUCAGACCAUUCGCCUGUGACGUUUUCUUCUCUUUAUAACAGUGGCGGGAGUGUCCCUGUGAGAGGCCAGGUGUGGGCCACGCAUCCAGCCCGGGGUCCAAUGGGUGUUCCUGGGGUGCUGGGGGAUUUGUGACACCCCAAAGAGAUAGAGCUAAAUUUAGGUGGCUUUGAAAAGGGAAGGCCAGGUUACCAGGGACUGGGUGUUUUCACUUCAGGCAGUGAACUGACGGUUUUAGAUACCCAGAAGGGAGCUUCCCACGUGGGAUCGAAAGACGCCAAGAGAACUGGCCCGCCUGCAGGUCUUAAGCCCCUCUUGCACUGCCUAUGUUGGGAGGGGCAUGGCAAUGGGAAAGGUGAGGGAAUGGGGGUCAGAGUGCAAGGGCGAGGUGAGCCCAGCGGAUGACUAGCGUUACUAUGGCAACCCUACUGACAAUGCUAUGAGAGGCUCCCCGCCUCACGCUGGUCUGCGGAAAAUCAAGCUUUGGAAAUGAGCCUUGAAGGAGGAAUGCUGGGAAGAUGAGAUGUCACAGACAGUGGAUCUGGUCAAGUUGUUUCCUCGCAGGCCGGCUUUGAAGACCCGGCAGACCACUGUUCUGGCCAGGGAGGAGAAAGGCAGUGAGCUCAUGACACCACGCCUUAAGGCCCAUGGGAUCAUUCUGUGCCCCAGGGAGGCUGUCCCAGCCUCACUAGAUUGUAACCCCAUCCCUGCUCGCUCUGCGGGACCCAAAAUCCCAUGGGAAGAGGAGUCUGGAAUGCCCUGAAGCUCCACCUCCACCGGGCACCGAAGAAGGUUCAAGGAGGUCCAGAGUACAGGACUCCCAGGGGACUGGCACUGGGUAGUAAGGCAGCCCACUCUUUCAUGCAUCCCCCUAUAUGCCCCCCACCCAGCUUCGGAUGCUGCAGUCCCCGCAGCCCCCGCCACCGCAGCAGGCGCUGCCAUUUUUGAGGAAGCCACAAACUGACUUCCAGGAGCCCAACUAGAUUCGGUUUAGAAAAUGCGCAUGUGCGAGGCACGAGGCGAUUCUCGCGUCACAGUGACCCCCAUCAUCGCCCAGGGGAUGGAUGGGUCCCUGAUGCUUGGAGAAGCAGGAGCCCUCCGUGGCAGUGCCUAGGCGUUAAGGCUCCAGCCUAACCUCUCCCGGGGGUCGACAGGAUGGUUUUUGGACGCCGGGAGUCGCGGAGGGCCGACCGGGAUGAAGAAACCUCAGGAGCGGAGCGCAAGUCGGCCUAGCCAAUGCGCAUGCGCGGUGCACGAGCUGAUUUCUCAAGGCACAGUGACUCCCACCGUCGCUCGAGUGAUGGGUCCAUGAGGCUGGGCGAAGCAGGAGCCCACUGUGGCAGUGCGUCGGUAUCGAGGCUCCAGCCUGACCUCUCCCAGGGGUCAACAGGAUGGUCUCCGGACGCCAGGAGUCGCGGAGGGCCGACCAGGUUUGUGAAGGCCGGUUCGACCUGGGGAGCUGCGUUGGUCCCACAGGGAUUGAAACCUCCCCAUCCUGAGCGUCCUACUUUCGAGGAUCAAGACAACCACACCACACCCAAGGACCAAAGCCUCCCAGGAGCUUAUUGUCCUGCAGGAGUGCGUGCAGACCAACAUCAAAGAAGAUGGUUCUAACUCCUCCCACCUCCCACCUUCUCCUCUCAUUAAGAAAUGUAGCCCCACCGCGACAGUCUUGGAGAAGAAGCCGGGAACGGGACGCGGCAAGGAUCUCUGUGACUUAAAUCUGGCCUUUCUGGCCCAGUCUCCCAUUUGGCACUUCUUCCUGGAUGCGCAUGGUAGUGGCAUUGUGCUGUAUCCUGCCUGGGCUGUGGCCUCUGCUCUGUACUCCCUCUUGCUCUAUCUGCCAUAGGAGCCUAGAGGCUUGGUCUGGCUUAAAGUCUUCAACAAAGAACACUUUGGAGUCCGUGAGGGAGAAAUUUCGUGGAGAUCCGUUUCACAGUUGUUUCCCUCUCCAAACCUAUUUCUGGUCGAUUAGGCAGGUGCCAUGAUCCUCUGGGCUUCCAUACCUGUCUUGGACAGGGAAGCUCCCUUGGUCUCCAUGUCCCACCUGAUGGCUGCGUGGUUUGUUUCAGUCUAGGAUGAGCGAGUCUCGCUGUGUCACCCAGGCCGGAGUGCAGUGGUGCGAUGCACCAUCUCGGCUCUCGGCACGCUGCAACCUUCGCAACCUCUGCCUCCCGGGUUCAGUCGAUUCUCUUGACUCAGCCUCCUGCGAUUGGACUACAGGCAUGCACCACCAUACCCGGCUAAUUUUAGUAGAGACGGGGGUUUCACCAUGUUGGGCAGGCUUGUCUCGAACGCCUGACCUCGUGACUCCUGACCUGGUGAUCCGCCUGCCUCGGCCUCACGAAGUGUUGGGAUUACAGGCGUGAGCCACUGUGCCAGGCCAAGAGUAGUAAUCUUUUAACCGCUAUUGGCUUUUGGUAGCCUGCUUUCCAGACUACAAUCCCAGCAUGCCCUGGGAUUUGGGGAGGUGCCGUUACCUUGCGGGUGGGACAGCAGUGGUGCGCCCCUCCCCAGGCAUGCAGGUAGGUAGUAGUAGUCUCUUACCGCUUUCAGCCUUUGGUCGCAGGGAUGCCAGACUGAAAUCCCAGCAUGCACCGGGAUUGGGGGUGGUGCGGGUAUUUUGAGGGAAGCACAGAGCUUUGUCCUCCUUGCGAGGCAUGCAGGGAAUAGUAGUCUCUUAACCGCUUUUGCCCGUUGGUCUGAGGGAAGCUGGACCACAUUCCCAGCAUGCCUGGACAGUGAGCAUUUCUGGAGGGAGGGUCAGUGCAGUGUGCUCCUCGCAGGGCGUGCAGGGAGUAGUAGUUUCUUAACCGCUUCUGGCCGUGGGUCUCAGGGCCGCUGACUGUAGUCCCAGCAUAAGCCAGGGUGGUGUGCUGCCUGGGAGGGAUGGGUAAGAAGGCAGCGUGUACCUUUCUGCUUCCAAAGCAAUGCCGGUCACUGAUUCUGUGCCACCCCUGGCUAAGGGGAGUAAGUCCGGAGAGGGACUUGAGGUACAAUUAGCAAGAUUUGAUGCUACGAAGUGCACUUCACCUCUGCCCAAUCAUCCUCACCUCUCCUUUCACUGCUCAGCUCAGUUUCCUCUCCCACCCGCACUCCCGGGGUCUUUCCUGGUCAUCGCGCCUCACCAAGCCCAGGGAGCUGCCUGCUUUCCGAAGCUGAUGUGGAACUGAGACACUGUCCAUUGUGCUGCCGCCCAGCCAGAGCCUCAGUUCAGCUGCUUUUGGGAGAAUUCGCAGUUUGGCCCUCCCACAGACAAGUUUAGAGCUUGGCAGGAAUAACAUGGGCUGUGGCUUCCUGGAAAGGUCACCCUCACCGGGUGCCUUUUUCAUGGAUGUGAAUGUUGAGUCAUGAGGGAGGGUAACUGUUGGUUUACCCAGGCGAUGCUAAGAGCAGAGGAGAAAACCCCAAUUCCCAGGCAUGUGUCUUGAGCCAGGGACAGGCUGGCCAGACCCUGAUCCCCUGGGGCCCCAGAGAGCAGCCUACGGCCCUGGGUUCUGUGGAACUCCCUGCAUGCUGAUUGCCGUAGCCUCAGGGACACGCUAGCCAGAUGAGGUUGGUGAUGACCCAUGGGCUUCUGGAACUGGGCUGCUGGUCCUGGGAGGGCCAGCCCAUCUCCCUUGGAGAGGGCCUUUGUGUUGAGAGAUGCUCACAGAGGCCUGGGUGUCAGGGACACUCACUCCAGGCAAAGGGCCCUCUUGGGGAACCCCACGUAUUUGGCUGAAAGGAAGCAGACUUGGUCAGCGUUUCCACCUAGCCCAUCUGGCCCUUACAAGGCUGGGCCUCAUGAACCUAGGUCCCUGGAGUCCUUGAGGACCUUGUGUGGCCCACUUGUUCUGACACUGAGGAUACCCCUGCAGGCUGCUAAUUUUAGAGCAAGGGAUGUGUGCAAUCUGGGCAUGGGUGCUGUCAAAGCACAUCAGGGUGCUCCUGGGAUGGCUCCUCAGGGUUCAGGCUGGCUCAGGGCUCCCUGCCUCACACCCUCACCCCAGGGCCUGCUUGGUCUGGGCUUGGACCCUAGUCCAGAACUCAGCUGGGAGAAACUGCAACUGUCACCUGGCCUCCUUGCCACCUAAUAUAAUGGCCUGUCUCCAUAGUGGGUAAGACGCCCCUGGGCACUGGGUCCCUCAGCAAUCCAGCACCAUCCACUCAAUGCCAUGAGUUCCCAUGCUCAGCUGAACUCCGUCUGGCUCCAGGCCACGGGCCCACUUGUGCCCUUUCCCUGAAUCCUCUCUGGGAUGCCUGGAUCCCUCUCCAAGGCACCAUGGAGGCCUUGAAGGUGCCUCAGCACCACGUCAUCCUCCCGACCCCAGGCCCAGGACAGCAUGUCCUGAAGGAGCUCCACCAAGCUGAACUAGGACAGCUUUAGGAGGCGUUCUGGGGAUGGAGGUGGGCGUCAUGCUGGGAGAGGGGUCCUCUGGGAGGGAUCAGUGCCUGCACUCUAUUUCCUUCCUAGGCACCUCCCUUUGGGCAGUGCUGGUCGUGUUUGGUCACCCAUGAGAUCCAGGUGUGCACAGGAGGCCAUGGUGGGUGGGAGAUCUCUGUAGGGAAGUACUCGCCACACUCCUGCCCUUCAUCUGUGCCAUGUCAGGGAUGGGUUUGGUGUCUGGGAGGAAUCACGGUGCCCUGCCAAGCCCACCAGGCCUGACCCUCCAUCCAGGCCAGAGCAGAGGGUCAUAUGGACAGUGUGAAUGUGUCCCUUAGGACAGUUGGGGUCUUCCUAUGUGUUCCCCUGGAGCUCCCUCAGGCACAUAGGUUGUGUGCACCUUUACUGGCUGUGUAUGCCCUGGCUGUGAGCAUGCACUUGUUCUUUAGAAGGCAGACAUCCCAGAGCCUCAGAAUGAGCCCAAAGUGGAUAUGUGCGGACAGCAGGCAUGGGAGGACCUGGCCCUUCAAGAUUAGAGGCCAGUGGUCUACUAGGAGCUCCGUCUGUAGUGCCAGGGGCUCCCUCUGCAUGGGAUGUGACCCCCUCCUCUAUGAGGCUGGGUUAGACAAGGUCCUGUAGUUCCUCAUGGGGCUGGACUCAUCUCAGUGGCAUGUGGCUCCUGGAAGAAGGGGCUUCCCAAGGGCUUUGGGCUUUCCUGGGCUCUCCCAAAAGGAGUCCUGGCCCAAUCUGCCCAUGAUGAUGGCCCUGAGCACUGGCCUCUUCCAUGGGACACCCCCUCUCAGGGGCACUGUUGGUUUGUGUGCCCUGCAGGGACCUGCCUUUGCCUCCUGCUCGAAGGAAGGGACCUGGGUCCUUCUGAGGGAGCCAGACCUCUGGCCCAGAAAGCCAGACAUUGUGUGGAAGGAGCGUUCCUGGCCCAGGGUCUUCCUGUGUAUCCUUGCCCCAUCGAUCAAGUGCUGUGGGAGCUGUUUUAAGGUGAAAACCUAGAUGCACAGCACUUCCUUGUCCUCAUGAAAGGAGCAGAGGUCUUCACAGGCCUCUGGGCUGCCCCGAGAACCUCUCUAUUCCAGGCCCCUCUGCAGACCCCUCCAGACGCCAGAACUCCAGGCAGUGGCCUGAGCUGUCACUCCUUGCUCUGAGACCCCUACCUCUGCCAUGAGACCUCUUCAUAUUCCCCCAGAUGCCCCGAUCCCUCUGGAUUCCCCACCUCCCCUGGAACCUCCCAGAACAUGAAAUGUUUCUCAAAAUGUGGCUCAUAUCCAGGUUCAUUUUCACUGAGGACAUCUUGCCCUGCUCCUUCAUUGUCUAUAGGGCAGGGCCAAGAGCAGGAACCAGCCUCAGAACAGACAGGAGACUCACUGCUGCACACAGCACCAUGACAAAGUCAGUGCCUUUGUAGGAAAGGAGGGUUUUUCUCUGCAGAUAGUUGCUUCUCUUGCUUGUUUCUUAAGUCACAGAAUGUCACCAGAGCCCAGCUCACUUGUGGUGUCCAUGUCACUGUCUGUGCCCAGGAUGUGCUACUGACCCCCUAACUGCCAGGCUCGAUGUUCCCUCCAGCUGGUUAACUGGGCUCCUGACAUGGUGUGACAUGUCUGUGCGCUGGCUGGGUGUGGAAGGGCCUGACCUGGUGUAUUGCUGGAUUCUUGGCCUUCACCUUCUUGGCAUCCAGCAGGAGUGACCACGCUGGACCCCAUACCUGUGGGGGGAUUCCCUUGUAUACCUGCUGAGACAUCUGUGGACAGAAGAAUGCUCUGGUGAGGCAGGUGUCAGGAUGACCCCAAGGAUGAUAAGAAUCUAAGGAUUCUGGAACCUUCCAGCCUUUGGCCUUGUGGUUCCUCAGGAGAGGUUGAGUCUACCUAGGACCAGGCCUCCCUUCCCAUGAAUCAAGAGUGAACAAGAGCUCUCACAUCAGAUUGUCUCCCAGCAAGGUAACCCUUGCAGGGAUAGGCAGGAAAGUUGGGGACCAGGCCUGUUGUCUUUUGGGUGAGGACAGUGUGCCACCUGCUGUCUGAGAGGCAGGCAGUACCAAGAAACAGCAAGGGGUGCCUGUCCCCCAACUCUGGAGAGUGGUCACAGGGGACCCUCACUCUCCAUUGUGCCUUCUUGCUGCUCUUAGAUUUAUUUCAGUGGUUAAGCCUUUGUAGCCAUUUAUCUUUGCAUCCAAUAGCCUGAUGUUUUUGCCAUAAAUGAGAAAUGAUGGAGUUAGCUGAGCUGCCAGGCUUCCGGGAGUGGUUCUUGGAUGCUGGAUCACGUCAUCACUGAGGACUUCUUGCCCUGCUCCUUCAUUUCCAAUAUGGCAGGGCCAUGAGGAGGAACCAGCCUCAUCACAGACAUGAAACUCACUGCCGCACACAGCAACAUAACACAGUCAGUGCUUCUGAAGGAGGCUUUUUCUCUGGAGAAGUUUGCUUCUCUUGUUUGCCUGGUCAGUCAUUAGGGGCCUUGAUGGGGCUGAACUGGAAGGAGCCAGAAAAGGGCAGAUCUUGUGACUGAGACCCUCUGACUGAGUAGGUACCGGUGACCCAACCUCUGGAACACAGGACACACUAUUCUCAGGCCACAGAUGCCCUAAUCAGAUCUCAGCCUCCAGGUGGGGUCCUGGUGCCCAGUGGGCAGUGACCCCCAAGCCGCUACCCUGAAUCUUUGUGGCGGGUUUGGUAAAACAACUGCAGGGACAAGGCUUGGGUUGAGAUUCAGCAGGAAUUAUGGCCUCUCCCAUUGAGGGCAUGUGGCUCCCUCUCACCACCACCCAGGCCCACAGGCCACACCAUCUGUUUCACUGACCAGCCACCAAGUUGCCCAUUGAUGGGUGAGCCUCCCAUGUAGCAGGUACAGGCUGUUACCUUUGUCUUCAGGGCACUGACAGGGGCAGCUCUGUCACUGUAAGGCAGUGAAGAGAGCUGAAGAUCUGCACCAGGCCAGGGGCCAUCCCCCUCCCUGAGCAGGCCCCAGGAAAGGACUAGCCCCAUCCACAUCCACCCCAGGUCUCAGCCUCCCUGCUGGCUGAUACCCAGGAGAGGCUGGGAAAUGGGAACAGAGGAAGCACAGGGCUGGGCAGGUGCUGCUUGGGAUUCAUGGGGGUUUGGGUUACCCAAUGGGGUUGCCCCUCCUGAAUUGGAGUUAGCGUCCUCUUUGGGAACAAAGAAACUCUAGUCUUGAGGUGGGCCAGUGCUGCCCAGGUUUGUGUGUCUGGACCUUGAGAGAAGACCCCAGGAAGUGACCACAUCCUCAGGUUGUGGUGCAGGGAACCUGGCCUGAGAACUGCCCAGUGUGUUAAGGCCCCUGGAGCCUGUCUGCCCGAUGGCCCCACAGCCAUCGCAGGGUCUGACUAUCUAACCUGCCUCUCCCUGUACACUGGCUACCCACCCUUCCUGUUACUUUACUUCUCUAGCCUGUCUGCCUGGAAACCAUGCCAUGUCUUGGUUCCUGUCUCUUUAGGCACCCCUGUUCUUCCUUUAUCCUUGUUUUGUCAGAACGUCUGAGCAAGAACCCCCGAGAUCCAUCCACACACCUUCCUUGUCCACUUUUUAACUGGGCUGCUCAGCACUGCUGGUGGACACCAGGGGCAAUGAGGGUGACUGAGGGUUUCACAGGCAACCGGAAUGGCCCUGAACCCAGUCCCCAGCCUCAGAUGGUAUUUAGGGUCUUCAGCCAACAGCUUCCUCCCUCCUGUUGCAGCAGCCCUGACACGGGGCACCUGGCUGUCCUCCUCCCACUGUUCUUUUCUGACUCAGUCUCCCCAGUCUUCCCUCUGGCCAUGGUGCUGACCAAGCCAGCAGGGAGCUGGGUCUCUAGAGGGUGUUCCAGAGCUUUGGGACUGACUAAAGCUUCUCUGCUGAGGGGUCCCAGGUAAGUCCCUGCUCUUGGCUUCACCAAAUCUCCUGCCCUUCCCAGCUCCAUCCACUCUCCACAGGCUGGCUCCAUCCAGAUGCAUCCCAAAGUCAUCAGUUCCAUUGUGUCACCACUACCUCAGCUCCUCCAAUGACCCCUACAGGGACAGACUUUAUACUGGGCCCCUCCCACCAGACCUCAGAUCCCCUCUUACCAUGAAACCCUUGGUUAGAUCACCUUGGCUGCAAGCUCUGCUGCCUCCUUGCCUUUCCCAUGAGAUGCCCAAGCCAGGGCCCUGACCAUCUUCUCCUCCCAGGGCCACAGCUUUGGCUGCCCCUGUACCCCUCCCUGUGGGAUGGCAGGGCUGGGCUCCUUUAGCUCUCAGAGACCUGCUGGACAACUACCCACAGACCAUUCCAAGCACCCCUUUGUCCCAUGGCUAGACCCUGCAGAUCUCCAGGGCAGGCUCCAAGGGAGCAGGCUGGCCCCUCAGGCUGGCCCCCUCCUCUCUUGUUGACUUGGAGACUGGACUGCGCUGCUGUCCCCCUUGGAGAGCCUAGGGGCUUAGACCAGCCAUAUUUCUGUCUCCACUUGCUCUCUGGGUUCCCACAUUGGGAUACUCAGCUCUGGCCUAACACUGACCUUGGACUGGAUUUGCAGGGCACCUGGGGAGGAGUUCCAAUCCUGGGAAGGAGGUGGACUUGAGACAUGUCCUUCCUCAGAGAGGCCUUUUUCAAAAUAAAACCUAUUGCUGAGACGAGAUUGCUGGGGGUGGGGGCUCAGGAGACAGAAGACACACUACAGAAUCUGGAGAUAAUUGGUGAUUUUCUAGAUUAAAAAAUCUUCCUGCCUUAUGUCCACUGGCACCCUGGCCUGGCAUCCCUGCAAUGCAGAGGGGUCAAUGUGAGGGGGGCCAAGCUGUGGAAUGCAGAGGCAUGGGGUUGUGUGCAGCCACUCCCUGCCCUGUGUCCCAAGUGGGCCUAGGACCCUCUGACUACAGCACAGAAGGAGUGGUGAUCCCCCUGCCCCUUCGAACGAGCAGCCUGCCCUGUGUCCCCUCAUACUUGGCAAUAAUGUCCCCUUGAUUCUGGGUAAGAGGGUGUCCACAUCCUGCUCCAUGUCCAUCCUGCAAGAAAAAGAUAUUACACUGCAUUUGAAAACUUCAGAGAACACCCUAAACCAGGGUCCUGCCUGGGUCUCAAAAGCCAGCAAGGUGACCACAUUCUGUCACCAGGAACAAAAGCCCAGACCCAGUCCUCACCCCCGACCAGGGUCUCUGGAGUCUCUGCCCCUGUCCAAGGGUGAGUUCCUGCCUGAGGAUAUGAGAACAGGGGGGCUUGGACAGCAAGGUCUGUCUUCAAAUGCGCCAAGAUGGGCACAUGCUUGCUUCAGGAGGAUGAACAAUGUCCACCUGCCAAGGGGAAAGGGCCUAUGAUGGGCUGUUCUGGGCACCUGGAAGCACAGUGGGGUCAAGGGCCAGAGACCUCUAUAUGAUCAUGUAGGGAAAAGAAAGAGAGAUCAGACUGUUACUGUGUCUAUGUAGAAAGGAAAGACAUAAGAGACUCCAUUUUGAAAAAGACCUGUACUUUAAAUAAUUGCUUUGCUGAGAUGUUAAUUUGUAGCUUUGCCCCAGCCACUUUGCCCCAGCCACUUUGACCCAAACUGGAGCUCACAAAAACAUGUGUUGUAUGAAAUCAAGGUUUAAGGGAUCUAGGGCUGUGCAGGACUUGCCUUGUUAACAAAAUGCUUACAAGCAGUAUACUUGGUAAAAGUCAUCACCAUUCUCUAGUCUCAAUAAACCAGGGGCACUGUGGAAAGCCACAGGGACCUCUGCCCUUGAAAGUGGGGUAUUGUCCAAGGUUUCUCCCCAUGUGAUAGUCUGAAAUAUGGCCUCGUGGGAUGAGAAAGACCUGACCGUCCCCCAGCCCGACACCUGUAAAGGGUCUGUGCUAAGGUGGAUUAGUAAAAGAGGAAAGCCUCUUGCAGUUGAGAUAGAGGAAGGCCACUGUCUCCUGCCUGCCCCUGGGAACUGAAUGUCUCAGUAUAAAACCCGACUGUACAUUUGUUCACUUCUGAGAUAGGAGAAAAACCGCCCUAUGGUGGGAGGCGAGACAUGUUUGCAGCAAUGCUGCCUUGUUAUUCUUUACUCCACUGAGAUAUUUGGGUGGAGAGAAACAUAAAUCUGGCCUACGUGCACAUCCAGGCAUAGUACCUUCCCUUGAACUUAAUUAUGACAUAGAUUCUUUUGCUCACAUGUUUUUUGCUGACUUUCUCCUUAUUAUUACCCUGCUCUCCUACUACAUUACUUUUUGCUGAAAUAAUGAAAAUAAUAAUCAAUAAAAACUGAGGGAACUCAGAGACCGGUGCUGGUGCAGGUCCUUGGUAUGCUGAUCGCCGGUCCCCUGGGCCCACUAUUGUUUCUCUAUA